GCACUUGCGAAGUAGAUAUGCUAAAAUUGGAACGAUACAGAGAAGACUAUAGCAUGGCUCCUGAGCAAGGAUGACACGCACUCAGUGCACGGUACACGGGCGUU